rnacentral:rRNA from 1 species
GCAAGUCGAGCGGUAACAGGGAUAGCUUGCUAUCUGCUGACGAGCGGCGGACGGGUGCGUAACACGUAGGAAUCUGCCCGGUAGUGGGGGAUAGCCCGGAGAAAUUCGGAUUAAUACCGCAUACGCCUUAAGAGGGAAAGCAGGGGAUCUUCGGACCUUGCGCUAUCGGAUGAGCCUGCGUCGGAUUAGCUUGUUGGUGAGGUAAAGGCUCACCAAGGCAACGAUCCGUAGCUGGUCUGAGAGGAUGAUC